rnacentral:rRNA from 1 species
AUACGGAAGGUCCGGGCGUUAUCCGGAUUUAUUGGGUUUAAAGGGAGCGCAGGCGGCCUUUUAAGCGUGACGUGAAAUGUAGGCGCUCAACGUCUGAAUUGCGUCGCGAACUGUUAGGCUUGAGUAGACGGAAUGUCGGCGGAAUUCGUGGUGUAGCGGUGAAGUGCUUAGAUAUCACGAAGAACUCCGAUUGCGAAGGCAGCUGACAGCAGUUUUACUGACGCUCAUGCUCGAAAGUGCGGGUAUCGAACAGGAUUAGAUACCCUGGUAGUCCGCACGGUAAACGAUGGAUGCCCGCUGUUUGCUCUUGAAGUAAGCGGCCAAGCGAAAGCAUUAAGCAUCCCACCUGGGGAGUACGCCGGCAACGGUGAAACUCAAAUGAAUUGACGGGG